rnacentral:rRNA from 1 species
CCUACGGGAUGCAGCAGUGGGGAAUAUUGCACAAUGGGCGAAAGCCUGAUGCAGCAACGCCGCGUGAGCGAUGAAGGCCUUCGGGUCGUAAAACUCUGUCCUCAAGGAAGAUAAUGACGGUACUUGAGGAGGAAGCCCCGGCUAACUACGUGCCGGCAGCCGCGGUAAUACGUAGGGGGCUAGCGUUAUCCGGAAUUAAUGGGCGUAAAGGGGGCGUAGGUGGUUUCUUAAGGCAGAGGUGAAAGGCUAGGGUUCAACCGUAGUAAGCCGUUGAAAAUGGGGAACUUGAGUGCAGGAGAGGAGAGUGGAAUUCCUGGUGUAGCGGUGAAAUGCGUAGAUAUUAGGAAGAACACCGAGUGCGAAGGCGGCUUUCUGGACUCUAACUGACACUGAGGCACGAAAGCGUGGGGAGCAAACAGGAUUAGAUACCCUGGUAGUC